CACGUAGGCGGAUUGGAAAGUUGGGGUGAAAUCCCGGGGCUCAACCCCGGAACUGCCUUCAAAACUCCCAGUCUUGAGUUCGAGAGAGGUGAGUGGAAUUCCGAGUGUAGAGGUGAAAUUCGUAGAUAUUCGGAGGAACACCAGUGGCGAAGGCGGCUCACUGGCUCGAUACUGACGCUGAGGUGCGAAAGCGUGGGGAGCAAACA
rnacentral:rRNA from 1 species